UGCCGCAGAGCAGGGGACUCCCUCCCUUCCCCGGCUCUCCCCGCCCAGCCCCCAGUCCCCGGCUCUCCGAAACGCAUUUCGUUUGCUUUAACAACAAGUGGGGGUGGUGGCGUUCACUCCUCCCUCUCCGUCUCUCCUCCCCUCCUCUCGCCGCGGCUCUUGACACUACUACAAACCAGGACUAUAAACAUAAACAUGUGUCACUGUAACGGGGCAGAGGCGGCUGACAUGGUCAACAAAUUUAUCAAAGAACCCCCUGGCUUUUGAAGAACAGUACUUUAUGCAUCUGGAUCUGCACAUCCAGGCAAAGCUCGGAAAUAUCCGUUUAUUCUUUAACCACAGGGAUGUGUCUAUUUUUGGAGGAAGAAGGAAAUAUAUAAAUGCCUGGGUUGCAUCUAUGCUGUAAUUGCAAACACUGAACAGUUAAGAAGAUUUUGCCUAAUUCUGCAAAGCAGCCAACAAAGCGCCUUGGGAUCCUGGUAAUACAAGUACGAAGAUUCUUCCUCUCCUUUGGCAAUAUUUUGGAUAUCCUUGAAAAACGACAGCAAACUAUGCCUCAAUUUGACUAAGAAGAGGUUAAACCAUAUUGAUAUUCAUCCAAGGUGAUUUUGUGAAAGCAGAUGCUUGGAUUUCAUGGAAAAACAAAAUGGGAGUUGUGGAAGAUUCACCUAAACUACCAACUCAGGCAUCCCAGACCACGAAAAAAGUCUGCAUUGUACUUCAGCACUUUCUUUUCAUCGUUAUUACGUAAAACCUCUGGAAGCACCUUGGGUGUUUUACAUUUUCUUUUCUUUGCUGCACAAGGAAGCAGUCUGCUCCCUGGAAUUCUGACCUAUCCUGAACAGGACGCUGGCAUAGGCUGUGUUGGAGACUCCAGGACGAUCCCGCCUCCAAACAGUCCGGUUAAUUGUGAAAAGUGUACACAUUUCUGGCUUAUCUAUGCUUUGUUAUGGGUCUGACGUGAAACUACCUCCUCCUCACCCCACCCCACCCCCCAGCAGAGAACCAAAAUCCCGCAGAAUCGUUAGUGUUUUGGAGUUGGAGCCUUGAACUGCUUCCUUGGUCAAAUAACUUUGUUUCUGGUUGUAAAAAAAAGGCAUUUCAGGGGGGGAAAAAGGAAAAUCGAGAGAAAUUCCAAACGUAAGUGUGUACUGGGGUGGUUCACGGCGCGGUUUAACUUUGGAGCUGCAGUCUCCUUCCCCACUUCCAUAAGGGAAAUACCAGGCUGUUCUGCACAUUUUCCCUUCAGCUCCAUUUUCCAAAGGAAAAGGGGGGUGGGGGUCUAUCUAGGCUUGA